rnacentral:tRNA from 1 species
GCACCCAUCGUCUAGAGGUCAGGACCCCUGAUUUUCACUCAGGAAACGCCGGUUCAAUUCCGGCUGGGUGUACCA